AUAGGGCCUGAUCCAAAGCCCACAGAAGUUAAUGAGAGUCUUUUCCAUUGACUUCAAUGGGCUUUGGGUCAGGCCUGUAUCUCAU
rnacentral:pre_miRNA from 1 species